rnacentral:rRNA from 1 species
UACGUACGAGGCAAGCGUUAUCCGGAAUUACUGGGCGUAAAGCGCGCGCAGGCGGACGUUUAAGUAGGGCGUGAAAUCUCCCGGCCUAACUGGGAGGGGUCGCUCUAGACUGGGCGUCUUGAGGACUGCAGAGGUGGGUGGAAUUCCUGGUGUAGUGGUGAAAUGCGCAGAUAUCAGGAGGAACACCAAUGGCGAAGGCAGCACUCUGGGACGUGACUGACGCUGAGACGCGAAAGCGUGGGGAGCAAACAGG